GCCUGGUGGUUCCUUGAAGCUGCUCAUCUGUGCUGUUCAUCAAGGUUGUAUUUCACAGGCAAAUAGUAACUGCUUCAGUUUAAUGCUUGGGGGUUGCCUACCUCUGUGACUUCCAAAGCCCGGCUGGAGAAACAUUC
ensembl:snoRNA Small nucleolar RNA SNORA84